UACGGAGGGUGCAAGGCGUUAAUCGGAAUUACUGGGCGUAAAGCGCACGUAGGCGGAUCGAUCAGUCAGGGGUGAAAUCCCAGGGCUCAACCCUGGAACUGCCUUUGAUACUGUCGAUCUGGAGUAUGGAAGAGGUGAGUGGAAAUUCCGAGUGUAGAGGUGAAAUUCGUAGAUAUUCGGAGGAACACCAGUGGCGAAGGCGGCUCACUGGUCCAUUACUGACGCUGAGGUGCGAAAGCGUGGGGAGCAAACAGG
rnacentral:rRNA from 1 species